rnacentral:lncRNA from 1 species
GAACUCUCAAAUCAUGAAGGUGUCAGUGGGCAGAAUUUGUAGAUGACACACAGCAUCCAAUGGAUUAGUCCUAUUCAGAUAUUGCUUAAUGAAGAAUAAACAAGAAGUUUAACUGGUGGGAGAAAAAGUGGAACCCUAAGCUCUAUCACCAUUCUGUCUCUAGUAUUCCUUAAAGCAAGGAAUGGGAUGACAAGCAAGUUGUGAAACCUCAACUAUCUACAGUUUAACACCAAGGAAACAACACUGUUUAAAGAGAUGGGAAAGAUUAUCAUCGAUGUCUUUCAGAAGUCAUCAGAGGAAGUAAAGGAGAAAAAAGAGGAGAAAGCAGAAAGAUGCCCAGAUAAGUCAUUAAAGAGUAUAAAUGGAAAAAGAAAAGCAGAGAGGUUUAUCCUCAGUCCUCAAAUCCCAUCACUUCUCUGACCCUCCAGGGCAUUGAUGAUUUCUGCAUUUGACUGCCUGGUAUUUCUGCCCAGAGCACAAAGAGCACAAACCUUGUAAAGUGCUGAAUAUAUAUACAAGCCAAGCAACUUCUUGAAGACUAUCAGAGCAGAACAAAAGCACAGUGUUUUAGGAGGCAUGGCCUUGGAGAAUCACCAUAUUCGGAAGCAUUUACUAGACAGGUGAAUGCUAGUACUUGUUGAUGGCUGUUUAUUUGCUCCAAAACAGCAACAGAACCUUCAUACCAGACCCUCAAAAGAAACAUACUCUAGAGAAUUUUCACUCCAAGUGAAGAGCAAGUUGUAGAGAUGACGAUAGCAAACAAGUCAACUGAGCA